GACGUAGGGCGCGAGCGUUGUCCGGAUUUAUUGGGCGUAAAGAGCUCGUAGGCGGCUUGUCGCGUCGUCCGUGAAAACCUGCGGCUCAACUGCAGGCUGGCGGUCGAUACGGGCAGGCUGGAGUUCGGUAGGGGAGACUGGAAUUCCUGGUGUAGCGGUGAAAUGCGCAGAUAUCAGGAAGAACACCCGUGGCGAAGGCGGUUCUCUGGGACGGUACUGACGCUGGAGACGCGAAAGCGUGGGGAGCGAACAGG
rnacentral:rRNA from 1 species